rnacentral:rRNA from 1 species
UACAGAGGUCCCGAGCGUUGUUCGGAUUUAUUGGGCGUAAAGGGUGCGUAGGCGGCGGAGUAAGUUGGGUGUGAAAUCCCGGGGCUUAACCUCGGAAUUGCAUUCAAUACUGCUUCGCUAGAGUACUGGAGAGGAGGCUGGAAUUUACGGUGUAGCAGUGAAAUGCGUAGAUAUCGUAAGGAAGGCCGGUGGCGAAAGCGAGCCUCUGGACAGUACUGACGCUGAUGCACGAAGGCCAGGGGAGCAAACGGG